rnacentral:rRNA from 1 species
AACGAACGCUGGCGGCAUGCCUAACACAUGCAAGUCGAACGAGACCUUCGGGUCUGGUGGCGCAGGGGUGCGUACGGCGUGGUAACCUGCCCUUAGGUACGGAAUAACUGCCGGUAAGGGGUGCUAAUACCGGAUAAUGUCUUCGGACCAAAGAUUUAUCGCCUUUGGAUGGGCCCGCGUUGGAUUAGCCAGUUGGUAGUGUAAAAGCCUACCAAGGCGACGAUCCAUAGCUGGGCUGAGAGGAAGAUCAGCCACACUGGGACUGAGACACGGCCCAGACUCCUACGGGAGGCAGCAGUGGGGAAUAUUGGAAAAUGGGCGAAAGCAUGAUCCAGCAAUGCCGCGUGAGUGAUGAAGGCAUUAGGGUUGUAAAGCUCUUUUACCCGGGAUGAUAAUGACAGUACCGGGAGGAUAAGCUCCGGCUAACUCCGUG